AAGCCUGUUUGAAAGUGGUCGCUUUGAAGGAACUGGUGGAAUAACAAAUGAUGGAUGUUGGAGAAACUUGUUGCCAGGAUGAGGGAUAAAUAGAAGUGGCUCUAAAUCAUGUUCAACAGUGACAAGUUUUGAUAUUAGCAUUUUUGAACGUCUAGUUUCCUCUACCAGAAAAUUAGUUAGGCUUUCUCUGUUCAACAAAAUCAGCUUUUGUAGGCAAGAGAAAAUCCAAGCCGAGAAUCGAGCAAACAUCGUUCAGGAAGAUAUCCAGCCUGGCAAUAUGAAAGUGUGGACCGAUCCAUUUGACAGGAAAAGGUAGAUUCAAUUUGAAGAUGACUGAAAAAUGAAUACAAUGUAGUGAAGACAAGAGUAGAUGUGUAACUUUGAAAGACAAUUGUAAUUAAACUCAUCCUCAGUGUAUGUGCACUAUAUUAGUAGCAUAUUUUAAAACUAUUUAAUGUAUUGAUAAAUGUUACAGUCUAACAUUUCAUAACUCUAACAGAAGUGAUGUGUAAUUAUCAUAAUUUAUAUUGUAUGUUUUACAUGAAAUAAAGUGCAAAUCUUUGUAAGCCUC